rnacentral:rRNA from 1 species
GGCGAACGGGUGAGUAACGCGUGAGCAAUCUACCUUAGUUACUGGGAUAGCCCGAGGAAACUCGGAUUAAUACCGGAUAUUCUUAUUUUUUCACAUGAAGUUUUAAGGAAAGGUCAGCCGAACUAAGAUGAGCUCGCGUUCUAUCAGCUAGUUGGUGGGGUAAAAGCCUACCAAGGCUACGACGGAUAGCUGGUCUGAGAGGACGAUCAGCCACACUGGGACUGAGACACGGCCCAGACUCCUACGGGAGGCUGCAGCAGGGAAUAUUGCGCAAUGAGCGAAAGCUUGACGCAGCGACACCGCGUGUGGGAUGACGGUUCUAGGAUUGUAAACCACUUUCAGGAGGGAAGAAAAUGACGGUACCUC